rnacentral:tRNA from 1 species
UCGGGUGUAGCUCAGUUGGUAGAGCGGCUGGCUGUUAACCAGCGUCUGUCGGGGGUUCGAGACCCUCCACCCGAGCCA